UGAUCAGGUCAUGAGGGCUGGGCCACAUGAAGGGAUUAAUUAUUCCAUGGAUUAAUGGGUUAAUGGGUUAUCUCCAGAGUGGGUCUAGUAUAAUAACCUCUUUGGUUCUGUCUCUCUUAUGCAUCUUUCUGGCUAUAUGAUGCCUUGUGCCCUCAAGAUUCUGCAGAGAAUUCCCAGGAUCAAGAAGGCCUUCACUGUAUGUGGCCCCAUAACCUUGGAUUUCUCAGACUCCAAAAUUGAAGGGGCCUGAAAGUUGAAGAUAACUCCAUUUGAAAUUCAACCCGAACUGAGAGGAAACAUUAUUGACUGCAUGGACUCACAUAUAUUCAUUGAGUGAUUAUUGAACACCGGAUGCUGGGUAGGGAGGCUUUCCUCUGACAUCUGGUGACCCCUGGCACCCAUUCUCAUUUGAGAAUGAGACCCAUUGACGAAGCCCAUGGAAGAGCAAAGAUAUGCUGAAGGCAGAAAAAAAAAAGGAGCAAAAUGAAAACAAUAUUGAACUUACAAGUUUAUAGGACUUUGUUCUGGAAGUGAACAUCUACAAGUUUGAUCCUGAAGAGUUGGGGUAAGACAAAAUGUUUUACAUAAAUAAAUUCACAAUUUUUAUAUUUUGUUCAAAAAACAAAGAAGUAAAAGCAACAUGAAGAUCAUUUAGACAUGCAAAAACUAAGUUUAAUACUCUCAGACUUUCACCAAAAGAAUUAUUACAAGAUGUGUCUAGCUGGAAGCAAAGUAAAUCUAAAAAUGACAAACAGACUUGGAAAGAACAUGCCAGUAGAUAUAGUAGCUACUGACCAUAAAAAUCAGAAAACAUUUUAUUAUUUCUUCCUUAAAUGAUUUUAUUGAGGUAUAAUUUACACAUCAUACAACUCACCCUCAGUCCAGUGAGUAGCUGUACAGUCGUCCCACAGCCUGGUUUUAGAGCUCUUGGCACCAUAAAAUUUCCCUCCUGGCUGUGUGCAGUGAUCCCUGCUGGCAUUCUAAGCCACAGAAAACACGGAUCUGCUCAUUGUUUCUACGGCUUUACCUUUUCUAGAAACCUCAUAUAAGUAGAACCAGACAACAUGCGUUCUUUCUUGGCGGGCUUCUUUCAUUAUAUAAUAUUUAAUUAAUCACAUAAUAUAUAAAGGUUUGUCAGUGUUAGUAUGAGCCUCACCGUUUCAUUUGCAUUGAACAUCCUCAUCUUAGUGUAUGGUUAAAAUGCCUCUGUGGAUUUUCAAGGAGCUCUAUUGAGUUGUAGUUAACAUAGCACACAGUUCCUGCACAAUAUUUCAGGGGACUGAAGUAGCUCAAUGGUU